UAUCAAUAAGCGGAGGAAAAGAAACUAACAAGGAUUCCCCUAGUAACUGCGAGUGAAGCGGGAAAAGCUCAAAUUUAAAAUCUGGCGGUCUUUGGCCGCCCGAGUUGUAAUCUAGAGAAGUGUUAUCCGCGCUGGACCGUGUACAAGUCUCCUGGAACGGAGCGUCAUAGAGGGUGAGAAUCCCGUCUUUGACACGGACUACCAGGGCUUUGUGAUGCGCUCUCGAAGAGUCGAGUUGUUUGGGAAUGCAGCUCUAAAUGGGUGGUAAAUUCCAUCUAAAGCUAAAUAUUGGCGAGAGACCGAUAGCGAACAAGUACCGUGAGGGAAAGAUGAAAAGAACUUUGGAAAGAGAGUUAAACAGUACGUGAAAUUGUUGAAAGGGAAACGCUUGAAGUCAGUCGCGAUUGGCUGGGGAUCAACCUUGCUCUUUUGCUUGGUGUACUUCCCAGUUGAUGGGUCAGCAUCAAUUUUGACCGGUGGAUAAAGGCUAGGGGAAUGUGGCAUCUUCGGAUGUGUUAUAGCCCUUGGUUGUAUACAUCGGUUGGGAUUGAGGAACUCAGCACGCCGCAAGGCCGGGUCUUUGACCACGUACGUGCUUAGGAUGCUGGCAUAAUGGCUUUAAUCGACCCGUCUUGAAACACGGACCAAGGAGUCUAACAUGCCCGCGAGUGUUUGGGUGGAAAACCCGGACGCGUAAUGAAAGUGAAAGUUGAGAUCCCUGUCGUGGGGAGCAUCGACGCCCGGACCAGACCUUUUGUGACGGUCCCGCGGUAGAGCGUGUAUGUUGGGACCCGAAAGAUGGUGAACUCGAAAGACUAAUCGAACCAUCUAGUAGCUGGUUCCUGCCGAAGUUUCCCUCAGGAUAGCAGAAACUCAUUUCAGAUUUAUGUGGUAAAGCGAAUGAUUAGAGGCCUUGGGGUUGCAACAACCUUAACCUAUUCUCAAACUUUAAAUAUGUAAGAACGAGCCGUCUCUUGAUUGGAC
rnacentral:rRNA from 1 species